rnacentral:rRNA from 1 species
CACUUAGUUGUGUGCAUGGAAUAAUGGAAUAGGACCUCGGUUCUAUUUUGUUGGUUUUCGGAAUCUGAGGUAAUGAUCAAUGGGGACAGGCGGGGGCAUUCGUAUUGCGACGUUAGAGGUGAAAUUCUUGGAUCGUCGCAAGACGGACCGAAGCGAAAGCAUUUGCCAAGUAUGUUCUCGUCGAUCAAGAACGAAAGUUAGAGGUUCGAAGGCGAUCAGAUACCGCCCUAGUUCUAACCAUAAACUAUGCCUGCCAGCGAUCCGCCGAAGUUCCUCCGAUGACUCGGCGGGCAGCUUCCGGGAAACCAGAGCUUUUGGGUUCCGGGGGAAGUAUGGUUGCAAAGCUGAAACUUAAAGGAAUUGACGGAAGGGCACCACCAGGAGUGGAGCCUGCGGCUUAAUUUGACUCAACACGGGAAAACUCACCAGGCCCGGACACCGGAAGGAUUGACAGAUUGAGAGCUCUUUCUUGAUUCGGUGGGUGGUGGUGCAUGGCCGUUCUUAGUUGGUGGAGCGAUUUGUCUGGUUAAUUCCGAUAACGAACGAGACUCUAGCCUACUAACUAGGCGUACCCGGUAUCCACAAUCGUGCUACCGGCGAUCAAAUUUCUUCUUAGAGGGACAGGCGGCUUCUAGCCGCACGAGACUGAGCAAUAACAGGUCUGUGAUGCCCUUAGAUGUCCUGGGCCGCACGCGCGCUACACUGAAGGAAUCAGCGUGUCUUCCCUGUCCGAAAGGACCGGGUAAUCCGCUGAACCUCCUUUGUGCUAGGGAUUGGGGCUUGCAAUUGUUCCCCAUGAACGAGGAAUCCCAGUAAGCGCGAUCUGGCC